rnacentral:sRNA from 1 species
GUGCAUUAUGGAAAAUAUGUCACUUGAGGUGUGGAUGUGUGAGAAAGCUGAGCUUAGACGAUAGAAACGCUCUUCUGAAGUUUUGAACAGUUUGUAUGGAUGGGUGGAUUUGUCUUGGAGCUCAGUUGCAUUCUAAAUUUCUUUCCAGUUUACUUUCUCUAGAUCUUCAAUCACAUUGCAAAAUGCAAUCUAUGCUGCACUAUCAGGUAGUUCAAGUGACGGCUCGGGGUCUGUUUCCACCACAAGUACUUGCUUUUAUGUGAUAAACGUAUAUCAAGUUGAUAACUCCUGCUGUAGCGUUGUAUUAUUUGACUCCAAGCAUUCCCUCACAUGUACCCGAUAUCCAAAUCAGUGAGCAAAAAUAAGCAUUCCGAUCCUUUAUUUAGUAUCAUUGGCAAUUCAACCUCAUAUCCAUGGCUUCUCAGAGAAUACGCCAUAUGUUUUUAGGCUGAAGGAGCUCAUCACUAUUCAAACCAUCCCUAAUUAUGCGAGUGGCGCUCUAAACGCUUAGAUGAUCUGAUCGACAGUGGAUCGAUUAUCAACCCGCUUGUUGAAGUGAGUCCAUCUGAUGCGCUCGAAGGUUAGAGGACAUUGCGCUACCACGUAGUUGGCGAGGAAUUGGCAGAAUGGCUGCCCAUGGGUCAUUCACAUCCGAUACCUAUGAUAUGAUAACUACUUCGAGCCAAGCAAAUAACCAGUGCUGGGAAUUGUGCUGAGGAUCUCCACCAAUAUCUCAAUUCCCUUUCACGGAGAUUAUGGAAGGCUUUAGUUUGUAGAUCCUGGAUGAGGAUCUGGACAGAUCAUGAGCUUGCUGUGACCGUGCGCAGAUGUCCUUUUUGCAAUUGCUACUCACAGUUAAUCGCUCUCCUUGCUUCCAGACUCUUACCAGAAUAUAGCACAUAUAUCAUUGACAGCAAGUGAAAUCGCAUGGGAUUGAUUCUUUCGUGCAGUUUUCUUUCCGUUCCAA